rnacentral:lncRNA from 1 species
AGCCUUUGAGUUGAAAGGAUUAAGGUGGAGGUGUCUUUUAAGUUCGCAUAUAAUGGACAAGUAUAUUUGUGAUUCAUGUUACCCCAAGUAGGAGCUAUCGAAAUAUGGAGAAAAGUUAUCAAUUAUAAAGUUACAUUGUGGACACAUGCCCUAUAUUACUAUGCAGUUGACACCUUAUUACAAUAGAGAAGAACUGGUCCUAUAAAUUUUAUCCAUAUAUAUUAUAUUUAAUGCAUU